rnacentral:rRNA from 1 species
CGGCAGCACGGGAGCUUGCUCCUGGUGGCGAGUGGCGAACGGGUGAGUAAUGUAUCGGAACGUACCCAGUCGUGGGGGAUAACUCUCCGAAAGGAGAGCUAAUACCGCAUACGUCCUGAGGGGGAAAGCGGGGGACCUGCAAGGGCCUCGCGCGAUUGGAGCGGCCGAUAUCGGAUUAGCUAGUUGGCGGGGUAAAGGCCCACCAAGGCGACGAUCCGUAGCGGGUCUGAGAGGACGACCCGCCACACUGGAACUGAGACACGGUCCAGACUCCUACGGGAGGCAGCAGUGGGGAAUUUUGGACAAUGGGGGCAACCCUGAUCCAGCCAUUCCGCGUGAGUGAAGAAGGCCUUCGGGUUGUAAAGCUCUUUCAGCAGGAGCGAAACGGUCGUUUUUAAUACAGACGGCUAAUGACGGUACCUGCAGAAGAAGCACCGGCUAACUACGUGCCAGCAGCCGCGGUAAUACGUAGGGUGCGAGCGUUAAUCGGAAUUACUGGGCGUAAAGCGUGCGCAGGCGGCGACAUAAGACAGAUGUGAAAUCCCCGGGCUCAACCUGGGAACUGCGUUUGUGACUGUGUUGCUAGAGUGUAGCAGAGGGGGGUGGAAUUCCACGUGUAGCAGUGAAAUGCGUAGAUAUGUGGAGGAACACCGAUGGCGAAGGCAGCCCCCUGGGUUAACACUGACGCUCAUGCACGAAAGCGUGGGGAGCAAACAGGAUUAGAUACC